rnacentral:rRNA from 1 species
UGGGGAAUUUUCCGCAAUGGGCGAAAGCCUGACGGAGCAACGCCGCGUGAGGGAGGAAGGCCUGUGGGUUGUAAACCUCUUUUAUCAGGGAAGAAGAUCUGACGGUACCUGAUGAAUCAGCAUCGGCUAACUCCGUGCCAGCAGCCGCGGUAAUACGGAGGAUGCAAGCGUUAUCCGGAAUUAUUGGGCGUAAAGCGUCCGCAGGCGGCUGUUCAAGUCUGCUGUCAAAUACCAGGGCUAAACUCUGGGCAGGCGGUGGAAACUGAAUAGCUAGAGUAUGACAGGGGUAGAGGGAAUUCCCAGUGUAGCGGUGAAAUGCGUAGAUAUUGGGAAGAACACCGGUGGCGAAAGCGCUCUACUGGGUCAAGACUGACGCUGAGGGACGAAAGCUAGGGGAGCGAAAGGGAUUAGAUACCCCCGUAGUCC